ACUUCGGUGUGAGUAGAGCGGCGGACGGGUGAGUAAUGCUUGGGAAUCUGCCCAAUAGUGGGGGAUAACGUGUGGAAACGCACGCUAAUACCGCAUACGUCCUACGGGAGAAAGCAGGGGAUCUUCGGACCUUGCGCUAUUGGAUGAGCCCAAGUCAGAUUAGCUAGUUGGUGGGGUAAUGGCUCACCAAGGCGACGAUCUGUAGCUGGUCUGAGAGGAUGAUCAGCCACACUGGGACUGAGACACGGCCCAGACUCCUACGGGAGGCAGCAGUGGGGAAUAUUGCACAAUGGGCGAAAGCCUGAUGCAGCCAUGCCGCGUGUGUGAAGAAGGCUCUAGGGUUGUAAAGCACUUUCAGUGGGGAGGAAAAGUUCAAAACUAAUAUUUUUGAACCUUGACGUUACCUGCAGAAGAAGCACCGGCAAACUCCGUGCCAGCAGCCGCGGUAAUACGGAGGGUGCGAGCGUUAAUCGGAAUUACUGGGCGUAAAGCGCGCGUAGGUGGUUUGAUAAGCUAGCUGUGAAAGCCCUGGGCUCAACCUGGGAACUGCAGUUAGAACUGUCUGGCUAG
rnacentral:rRNA from 1 species